rnacentral:lncRNA from 1 species
UGAAGGAUUUGGGGGCAGAGCACUUGGCAGGUCAUGAAGGGGUCCAACUUCUCGGGUUGUUGAACGUCUACCUGGAACAAGAAGAGAGAUUCCAACCUCGAGAAAAAGGGCUGAGUUUGAUUGAGGCUACCCCGGAGAUGAUAACACUUUGUGUCCAGGAUUGAGAAAUGCCAAAGUUGAAGAUUUAAGGAGUUUAGCCAACUUUUUUGGAUCUUGCACUGAAACUUUUGUCCUGGCUGUCAAUAUUUUGGACAGGUUCUUGGCUCUUAUGAAGUGAAACCUAAACAUUUGUCUUGCAUUGGAGUCUGUUCUUUUUUGCUGGCUGCUAGAAUAGUUGAAGAAGACUGCAAUAUUCCAUCCACUCAUGAUGUGAUCCGGAUUAGUCAGUGUAAAUGUACUGCUUCUGACAUAAAACGGAUGGAAAAAAUAAUUUCAGAAAAAUUGCACUAUGAAUUGGAAGCUACUACUGCCUUAAACUUUUUGCACUUAUACCAUACUAUUAUACUUUGUCAUACUUCAGAAAGAAAGAAAUACUGAGCCUUGAUAAACUAGAAGCUCAGCUGAAAGCUUGCAACUGCCGACUCAUCUUUUCAAAAGCAAAACAUCUGUAUUAGCCUUGUGCCUUCUCAAUUUGGAAGUGGAAACUUUGAAAUCUGUUGAAUUACUGGAAAUUCUCUUGCUAGUUAAAAAACAUUCCAAGUUAAUGACACUGAGUUCUUCUACUGGAGAGAGUUGGUUUCUAAAUGCCUAGCCGAGUAUUCUUCUCCUGAAUGUUGCAAACCAGAUCUUAAGAAGUUGGUUUGGAUCGUUUCAAGGCGCACAGCCCAGAACCUCCACAACAGCUACUAUAGUGUUCCUGAGCUGCCAACGAUACCUGAGGGGGGUUGUUUUGAUGAAAGUGAAAGGAGGACUCUUGUGAAGAUAUGAGUUGUGGAGAGGAGAGUCUCAGCAGCUCUCCUCCCAGUGAUCAAGAGUGCACCUUCUUUUUCAACUUCAAAGUGGCACAAACACUGUGCUUUCCAUCU